GAGGGUAUAGCUCAGUGGUAUAGCACAUGCUUAGCAUGCACAAAGGGUCCUGGGUUCAAUCCCCAGUAACUCCU
rfam:Camelus ferus unplaced genomic scaffold scaffold129, whole genome shotgun sequence.